AGGGUUCUCCAUUAAGGUGGGUGGAAUAGUAUAACAAUAUAAAACGUGUUGUUAUAGUAUUCCACCUUCCCUGAUGUCCCU
rnacentral:pre_miRNA from 1 species